UUUCAGCAAGAUAGAGUUUGAUCAUGGCUCAGGAACGAACGCUGGCGGCGUGCCUAACACAUGCAAGUCGAACGGUGAAAAUGAGGCUUCGGCCGAAACACGAGUGGCGCACGGGUGAGUAAUAUAUGGGUAAUCUGCCCUCGAGUGGGGGAUAACGUUUCGAAAGGAACGCUAAUACCGCAUAACCCGCUUUGAACACAAGUUCUUAGCGGCAAAGAUGGCCUCUGCUUGCAAGCUAUCGCUUGAGGAGGAGCCCGUAUCCCAUUAGGCAGUUGGUGAGGUAACGGCUCACCAAACCUACGAUGGGUAGCCGGCCUGAGAGGGUGGCCGGCCACACUGGAACUGAGACACGGUCCAGACUCCUACGGGAGGCAGCAGUGAGGAAUUUUGGGCAAUGGGCGCAAGCCUGACCCAGCGACGCCGCGUGGGCGAUGAAGGUUUUCGGAUCUUAAAGCCCUGUGAGUUGGGAAGAAGGGGUUAGUUGCUAAUAUCAACUAAUUCUGACAGUACCAACAGAGGAAGCCCCGGCUAACUACGUGCCAGCAGCCGCGGUAAUACGUAGGGGGCAAGCGUUGUUCGGAAUUACUGGGCGUAAAGCGCGUGUAGGCGGUUUAAUAAGUCAGGAGUGAAAUCCCUCGGCUCAACUGAGGAACUGCUUUUGAAACUAUUAAACUUGAGUAUGGGCGGGGAGAGCAGGAAUUCCCCGGUGUAGCGGUGAAAUGCGUAGAUAUCGGGAAGA
rnacentral:rRNA from 1 species